AUACGGAGGAUGCAAGCGUUAUCCGGAUUUAUUGGGUUUAAAGGGUGCGUAGGCGGUUUGCUAAGCGGGAGGCGAAAUGCCGGCGCUCAACGUCGGAAGUGCCUCCCGAACUGGUGGACUUGAAUGACUCUGCCGUGGGAGGAAUGUGUAGUGUAGCGGUGAAAUGCUUAGAGAUUACACAGAACACCGAUUGCGAAGGCAUCUCACGAAGGGGUGAUUGACGCUGAGGCACGAAAGCGUGGGGAUCAAACAGGAUUAGAUACCCUGGUAGUCCACGCAGUAAACGAUGAUAACUAACCGCUGGGUCGUAGUGAUUCAGUGGCCAAGCGAAAGCGAUAAGUUAUCCACCUGGGGAGUACGACCGCAAGGUUGAAACUCAAAUGAAUUGACGGGG
rnacentral:rRNA from 1 species